rnacentral:rRNA from 1 species
UACGAAGGGGGCUAGCGUUGCUCGGAAUGACUGGGCGUAAAGGGCGCGUAGGCGGCUUGCACAGUCAGGCGUGAAAUUCCUGGGCUCAACCUGGGGACUGCGCUUGAGACGUGUGGGCUUGAGUGGGGAAGAGGGUCGUGGAAUUCCCAGUGUAGAGGUGAAAUUCGUAGAUAUUGGGAAGAACACCGGUGGCGAAGGCAGCCCCCUGGGCUAACACUGACGCUCAGGCACGAAAGCGUGGGGAGCAAACAGG